CCUACGGCAGGCAGCAGUGGGGAAUAUUGGACAAUGGGCGAAAGCCUGAUCCAGCCAUGCCGCGUGUGUGAAGAAGGCCUUCGGGUUGUAAAGCACUUUCAGUGGGGAAGAAAGCCUUGGGGCUAAUACCCUCGAGGAAGGACAUCACCCACAGAAGAAGCACCGGCUAACUCCGUGCCAGCAGCCGCGGUAAUACGGAGGGUGCGAGCGUUAAUCGGAAUUACUGGGCGUAAAGCGCGCGUAGGCGGUCUGAUAAGCCGGUUGUGAAAGCCCCGGGCUCAACCUGGGAACGGCAUCCGGAACUGUCAGGCUAGAGUGCAGGAGAGGAAGGUAGAAUUCCCGGUGUAGCGGUGAAAUGCGUAGAGAUCGGGAGGAAUACCAGUGGCGAAGGCGGCCUUCUGGACUGACACUGACGCUGAGGUGCGAAAGCGUGGGUAGCAAACAGGAUUAGAUACCCGUGUAGUC
rnacentral:rRNA from 1 species